UGUCUCUGAACCCCCUAAACAGCCUGAGUCCCUUCCAACUAUCACGCAUGGUCACUGGCUCCGAAGUAAAGGAGGCAGAGGGGGUGUGCACCAAAUGCCCAUGAUGAGGUUCCCCAACCCCCAGCUGAUGCCAAGCGACGGAUCCGCCGAGUGGGAUCCAGAGGUGUUUGUCUACAGGCCAUGGCAGCCAGAUGAGCUGAAGGAGGUUGCAGGGGAAUUACCUGACCCCCAAAAGGCUGGAGGUGAGAAAUGGAUCACAGCAAUGCAACAACUACUCAUGUAUAACCCAACUCUGCAGGAGGUAGAAGCUGUGUGUCGUAGAUGCCUCAAAUUAAGGUGGGCCAACAUCCGACCAUCUAUCUGGAGGACGACCGCACCCAUUGGAUCGGGGGAGUAUGGAGAUAUGAUCUCAAGCCUGUAUGAUGCGGUGCGUGAGGCUUUUCCCCUAAGAGUGUGUUGGGCAGAGAUCCACAACACCAAGCAGAAAGAGGGUGAGUCAGCUGCUGAUUAUCGCAUUCGUAUGGAGAUUGUUUUUGCAGCUCAUUCAGGCAUUGAUCCAGACAAUGAGGCGUACAGUGACUUGUUAAAAACUGCCUUGGUGAAUGGACUCCACCCUACCCUGAAGAAUGAUGUGAUGGCUACGUGUGUUGGCUGGGAGACAGGGUCCAUAGCGAUGGUGUGGACACAUGUAUUACAUACUGAAAGGAACAAGGUUGAAGUGGAAACUCGACAGACAAAGAAGCUACAAACUGCUCAGCUGUUGUACUAUCAGCAGGGUGCACCAACCCCAGGACAGCCAUGGCAACCCCACAACAACAGAACUCCUGGGAGGGGGAGGAAGAGAGGGGGCCCACAGGGAAGGCCAAUCCAGAUGAGGUGUUACAAAUGCAACAACCUAGGCCAUGUGUGGAGGGAGUGUUCUAACGCAGGGCCCCACAGACAAAGGGGACACGAGCCAGAGGAGACGUGGCCACAUGCACCACCGAGAGGACUUGCUGUGCAUUCUCCAGGAUUCCAGGCAGAGCAACCAUAGGAGACAGUGGAGGCAGGUCAGAGAAUUGAGCAGCACAUAAACAUAGAGAUAGGGACAAACACACACACAGACACAUGCACACACAUAGAAACAGAUGCAGACCAUGACAAACCUGUUGUUACAUAUCAGCAAUACGUACAGUUAACAUUGGAUUCUAGAACGCCCCCUAGGUUGACUCUUACUGUGCAUAGAGUUAAAGUGACAUUCCUUCCGUAGACUCAGGAGCAGAGGUAUCUGUAAUCCAAAGUAAAAGUAAUUCCUGAAGCCCCUAGAACAACAAAACGUCUAAAAACGAUAGGUGCAUCAGGUAUGCCAUAAUUUGAACCGGUAUCUGAUCUAUUAUCGGUCAGUUUUGCGGAUUACAGGGGAGAACAUCAAUUUCUCCUUUUUGAUGUAUGCCCAGUGAACGUUCUGGGUAGGGAUCUAAUGUGUGCUUUGAGUAUUGAUGUACAUUGUAAUCCAACAGGGAUAAAAGCAACAUCAGUUAGGACUGUACAUACACACAUACAUGGAGUCAGACUAAUGCCUUUGACAGUUGAAGAGGAAGCAACCCCUGUUAGAGUACAGGCUAAAUCUACUUUUAGACCAUGUAAAAGACAAUAUCCACUUAGUCCAGAAGCUGUUGCGGGCAUUGCUCCGGUCAUUCAGGCGCUAAUAGAUCAGGGUGCCAUUGUGGAAUGCCCUAACUCACAAUGCAACUCCCCCAUCUUACCUGUUAAGAAACCAAAUGGGUCCUGGAGACCAGUUCAAGAUCUUAGGGGUAUAAAUGAAGCUGUGCAACUUUUGGCACCGACUGUACCCAAUGUUACAACAUUAAUGUCACAAGUGCCAUCAGGGGCUUGUUGGUUUACAGUAAUUGAUUUGGCUAAUGCAUAUUUCAGUAUUCCUGUUCAUCCUGACUCACAGUUCUGGUUUGCUUUCACCUUCAAUGGCAAGAGGUAUACGUGGACGAGAAUGCCACAGGGCUAUGCUUCAAGUCCAACAUUCAAUUCAAUUCAAUUCAAUUUUAUUUGUAUAGCGCCAAUUCAUAACAGAAGUUAUCUCAGGACACUUUUCAAAUAGAGCAGGUCUAGACCGAACUCUUUAAAACAUUAUUUACAGAGACCCAACAGUACCACCAUGAGCAAGACCUUGGAGACAAGGGCAAGGAAAAACUGCCUGUUAAAAGGCAGAAACCUAGGACAGAUCCUCCGGCUCUAGGUGGGUGGUCGUCUGUCUCGACCAGUUGGGGUGAGAGAGAGAGAGAGAGAGAGAGAGAGAGAGAGAGAGAGAGACAGACAGACAGACAGACAGACAGACAG